rnacentral:rRNA from 1 species
CUUGAACGCUGGCGGCAUGCCUAACACAUGCAAGUCGAACGAGUGGCGGACGGGUGAGUAAUGUCUGGGAACCUGCCCGAUGGAGAGGGAUAACUACUGGAAACGGUAGCUAAUCCCGCAUACCAUCGGAUGUGCCCAGAUGGGGGUAGCUUGUCGGUGAGGUAACGGCUCACCUAGGCGACGAUCCCUAGCUGGUCUGAGAGGAUGACAGGCGACACUGAGACUGAGACACGGUCCAGACGCCUACGGGAGGCAGCAGUGGGGAAUAUUGCACAAUGGGCGCAAGCCUGAUGCAGCCAUGCCGCGUGUAUGAAGAAGGCCUUCGGGUUGUAAAGUACUUGCAGCGGGGAGGCGUUACCCGCAGAAGAAGCACCGGCUAACUCCGUGCCAGCAGCCGCGGUAAUAC